rnacentral:lncRNA from 1 species
CAUCAAAAUCAACAAGAUAAAAUAUUAAAUCAUUUGACAUGCACUUGGCUAAUACUCAAAUCAAGCAUUAAUAUUUUAAUAUACUUUCAAAUUGAAUGGUAGGAGUAAUUAUCAAUUUACCAACUUAUCUCUAAGAGUUUUAACUCCUCCAUCUUCUAUUUUGUGCUUUGAGCAUCCACAACUGAGGUACCAUUCUCUUUUGGAUUAAAGGGAUGUCAAGCACAUCUGCACUCACAA